rnacentral:rRNA from 1 species
UGCGUAGGUGGCGAGGUAAGUCGGAUGUGAAAGCUCGGAGCUCAACUCCGAAAUGGCAUUGGAAACUACCUUGCUCGAGGGUUGGAAGGGGGACUGGAAUACUUGGUGUAGCAGUGAAAUGCGUAGAUAUCAAGUAGAACACCAGUGGCGAAGGCGAGUCCCUGGACAACUCCUGACACUGAGGCACGAAAGCUAGGGGAGCAAACA